AUGGCGUUCGCGCCGCGGCUCCUGCUGCCGCCACGGCCCCCCUUGCCCGCUCCGGCGCGGGCCUCCGCGCGCCACAACGGCGGCGGGGGGCGCACGGCGCCGGAGCUGUCGGGCCCGACGCCGCGGGUGGUGGUGGUGACCUCGGGCAAGGGCGGCGUGGGGAAGACCACCACCACGGCUAACCUGGCCGCCUCCCUGGCGCGGCUGGGGCUCCCCGUGGUGGCCGUGGACGCCGACGCGGGCCUCCGGAACCUCGACCUGCUGCUGGGGCUGGAGAACCGGGUGAACCUGACCGCCGCCGACGUGCUCGCCGGCGACUGCCGCCUCGACCAGGCCCUCGUCCGCCACCGCUCCCUCCGGGGCCUCCACCUGCUCUGCCUCUCCAAGCCCCGCUCCAAGCUGCCCCUCGCCUUCGGCUCCAAGACCCUCACCUGGGUCGCCGACGCCCUCCGCCGCGGCGCCGACCCGCCCGCCUUCAUCCUCAUCGACUGCCCUGCAGGUGUUGAUGCUGGGUUUGUCACAGCCAUCGCCCCUGCAGAAGAGGCAGUGCUUGUCACCACUCCUGACAUCACGGCACUCCGUGAUGCAGACCGCGUCGCGGGGCUGCUGGAGUGUGACGGCAUCAAGGACAUCAAGAUCAUCGUGAACAGAGUGCGGCCGGACCUGGUGAGGGGGGAGGACAUGAUGUCAGCGCUCGACGUGCAAGAAAUGCUUGGGUUACCUCUGCUAGGUGUGGUGCCAGAAGAUUCAGAGGUAAUCCGCAGCACAAACAGGGGCAUGCCGUUGGUGCUGACGGACCCGCCCACGCCUGCAGGCCUCGCCCUGGAGCAGGCGACGUGGCGUCUGGUGGAGCGGGACGCGAUGACGGCCGUCAUGGUCGAGGAGCAGGAGCGGCCCAAGAAGAAGGGCGGCUUCUUCUCGUUCUUCGGCGGGUGA
rnacentral:rRNA from 1 species